UACGAAGGUGGCAAGCGUUGUUCGGAUUUACUGGGCGUACAGGGAGCGUAGGCGGUUGGAUAAGCCCUCCGUGAAAUCUCCAGGCUUAACCUGGAAAGUGCAGAGGGGACUGUUCAGCUAGAGGAUGGGAGAGGAGCGCGGAAUUCCCGGUGUAGCGGUGAAAUGCGUAGAGAUCGGGAGGAACACCAGUGGCGAAGGCGACCUACUGGGCUGCGACUGACGCUGAGAUGCGAAAGUGUGGGGAGCAAACGGG
rnacentral:rRNA from 1 species